rnacentral:rRNA from 1 species
UACAGAGGGUGCAAGCGUUGCUCGGAUUUACUGGGCGUAAAGCGUACGCAGACGGCUUGGUAGGUCGGAUGUGAAAGCCCCGGGCUCAACCCGGGAAUUGCAUCCGAAACCACCUCGCUCGAGUGUGGGAGAGGGAAGCGGAAUUCCUGGUGUAGAGGUGAAAUUCGUAGAUAUCAGGAGGAACACCGGCGGCGAAGGCGGCAUCCUGGACCAACAUUGACGCUGAGGAGCGAAAGCCAGGGGAGCAAACGGG